rnacentral:rRNA from 2 species
GCGCACAGGUUUACCUGUGAGCGGCAGACGGGUGAGUAACGCGUGGGAAUCUACCUUAAGCUGCGGGAUAACAGAGAGAAAUUUCUGCUAAUACCGCAUGUGCCCGAAAGGGGAAAGAUUUAUCGGCUUAAGAUGAGCCCGCGUUGGAUUAGCUGGUUGGUGGGGUAAAGGCCUACCAAGGCGACGAUCCAUAGCUGGUCUGAGAGGAUGAUCAGCCACACUGGGACUGAGACACGGCCCAGACUCCUACGGGAGGCAGCAGUGGGGAAUAUUGGACAAUGGGCGCAAGCCUGAUCCAGCCAUGCCGCGUGAGUGAUGAAGGCCUUAGGGUUGUAAAGCUCUUUCACCGGAGAAGAUAAUGACGGUAUCCGGAGAAGAAGCCCCGGCUAACUUCGUGCCAGCAGCCGCGGUAAUACGAAGGGGGCUAGCGUUGUUCGGAAUUACUGGGCGUAAAGAGCGCGUAGGCGGAGAGAUAAGUCAGGGGUGAAAUCCCGGGGCUCAACCCCGGAAUUGCCUUUGAUACUGUUUUUCUUGAGUGCAGAAGAGGUAAGUGGA